rnacentral:rRNA from 1 species
UGCUCGCAAGAGUGAACUAGCUAACUGAAAUCAUAGAAUUUCUUUAAAUUCAUGAUGUCGUAAGGGAAAAUAAUGAUAAUACCUUACUAUUAGUGUCGUCCAAAUCUGGUGCCAGAAGACUCGGUAAGACCAGAGACGCAAACGUUAAUCAUCUUAAACAGGCGUAAAGGGUUUGUAGGCAGCUUUCAUAAGAAUAUAAUUAACCAAGUAAAGUAAUCUAAUUGAAAGCUAGAAUCAAAUAGAGGUUAUAGUGUAUAACACCUAGAGGAGGGCUGAUAUCCGUAGAUCCUAGGCAGAAUACUCAGGGCGAAGGCCACUCUCCACUAAUGAUUGACGCUGAGAAACGAAGGUUAGGGUAGGAAAUAGGAUUAGAUACCCCGGUACUCCUUUCAGUAAACGAUGAAUGGUAGUCAUUAGUAUAAAUACUAGAGGCGAAGUUAACACAAUAACCAUUCCGCCUUGUGAGUACUACUGCAAAGUAGAAAACAAAAAAAUUAGUCGGUCUCGAAGCAMACGGAGUGAAGCAUGUUAUUUAAUACGAUAAUCCGCGUAAAACCUUACCAGAACUUGC